rnacentral:rRNA from 1 species
AGCUCCAAUAGCGUAUAUUAAAGUUGUUGCGGUUAAAAGCUCGUAGUUGGAUUUCUGUUGAGGACAGGCGGUCCACACUUCGUGCGUGUAUCUGUUUUGGCCUUGGCAUCCUCUUGGGGAACACUACUGCGCUUAGUUGCGUGGAGUGGUAUCCAGGACUUUUACUUUGAGGAAAUUAGAGUGUUCACGGCAGGCUCGCGCCUUGAAUAUAUUAGCAUGGAAUAAUACUAUAAGACUUCGGUUUUAUUUGUUGGUUUCUAAGGCUGAAGUAAUGAUUAAUAGGAACAAUUGGGGGCAUUUGUAUUAACACGUCAGAGGUGGAAUUCUUGGAUUGUGUUACGACAAACUACUGCGAAAGCAUUUGCCAAGGAUGUUUUCA